rnacentral:pre_miRNA from 1 species
UGAAAGACAUGGGUAGUGAGAUGUUUUAAGGGUCACCUUGCUACUCUGUCUUUUGCA